GGUCCAAGCCAUUGGUAGCAGCCCCUGGUAUAUCCAGGACAUCAGCACAUAGAACCAGUGAAAGGGUCCUCCCUCAUAAUGACGCAUGUCAUAGACUCAGAUUUAUACAAACAAAUGCUGAGCAAACCAUGAAGAGUCUCUGGUAUUUUCGACAAUAUCAUCACAGAGGAACUGUAUUGAUUUCCUUGCAUGUUCAGGGUACUGGGAGAGGCAACAGGGAUGGAGGUCCCAUGUCAGGGGACUUCACAGUGUGACGGGAAUGUUCAACCUACACGUGUUCCUUGCACCAUACUCCAUCCAGCUCUCCACUCUUCCAGUCAUUUAUGCUCCUGUAUUCCCUGGAGGAAGCCUGGUAGUAUCUCCCGGGGACACUGGCUCAAAUUUUCAGCCACCUGCCCAAGAUAGAUGGGACCAGGGGCCAGAUGAUGUGGACAAUGAUGAUGUCACAAAGAGAAGUAAGAAAUAAAGGAGGUGACUUAGUGGGAAAGGUGAUGUUCUGGGUUCUGAAGAAGAUGAGAAAUACCAGGCCAGGCUGUGCUUUGCCUCUUGGCCUAUUUUCCUUCCUGACUUUUUUCAGCCACGGAUCAACCUCCCAAACGCAUUGCUUAUCAGGCUGUGAUACCAAACUGCACAGGAAAAGCUUAAUCUUCAAGAACCUGUAGCUGUUCUCCCAGACAUCCAUAUCUCCUUGUCCUAACCCUUUGAUUUAUGUUAUUGUUUUUAAGUCCCAUUUUCCAGGCAUUUGCUAAGCCAAUAGAGAACUGGGCCAAUUUCCAAAG